AACGAACGCUGGCGGCAUGCCUAACACAUGCAAGUCGAACGAGACCUUCGGGUCUAGUGGCGCACGGGUGCGUAACGCGUGGGAAUCUGCCCUUGGGUUCGGAAUAACAGCGAGAAAUUGCUGCUAAUACCGGAUGAUGACGUAAGUCCAAAGAUUUAUCGCCCAAGGAUGAGCCCGCGUAGGAUUAGCUAGUUGGUGAGGUAAAGGCUCACCAAGGCGACGAUCCUUAGCUGGUCUGAGAGGAUGAUCAGCCACACUGGGACUGAGACACGGCCCAGACUCCUACGGGAGGCAGCAGUGGGGAAUAUUGGACAAUGGGCGAAAGCCUGAUCCAGCAAUGCCGCGUGAGUGAUGAAGGCCUUAGGGUUGUAAAGCUCUUUUACCCGGGAUGAUAAUGACAGUACCGGGAGAAUAAGCCCCGGCUAAACUCCGUGCCAGCAGCCGCGGU
rnacentral:rRNA from 1 species